GGCUCAGUGUCUCAAUGGUAAAGCGUUGACUUCUGAGUCAGAUGAUCCUAGGUUCGAUCCCUGGUAGUGUCG
rnacentral:tRNA from 1 species